GCCGGUGUGGCUGUGUGCUGUCUGUCACCCCAGCGCCCUGGACCUCAGUCUGCAGAGAAGCAGCUGUGACAAGCACAGAAAGGCAGGCACUGGUGCCUCCUGUCGAAGCCCCCAAUGCACCAGCAGCCCUCGUGUUAAUUUAAGAAGUUGACUGAACAAUCUGGCACAGUCGCUGGAAACUGAAGAAGGUCGCUUGGAAAGGGUCCUGACCCACCCACCAUGUCAAGCAAUUAUUUUUCUGGACAGCUUCCUGAUGUCCCCAAGGAGAGAGAGAGCGUGACAGCCAGUGAGGGAAAGCAUGCCACAGGUCCCGCCUGCUAACCUGGCAGGAGGGUGCUUGCAACACCUAAUUUAUCAACGCUUGUUUUCCCUGCUGGAGCCAAGUACACAAAAUCACUCCGCCAACAGAGAAAGAGAAAGGGGAAGCCAUUCUUCACCUUUUUCAGUAAUGUAUUUUUGUUUUGGUCAAUUUCCCAGAUAAAUUAUGGUCUUGUCUCAUUGCUGCAUUGGUGGAAUUCUUGCUAGUGUUAUUUAGUACAUUUUAAAGCUGUGUGAAACCAAAAGGUACUUAAAAAAAAAAAAAAAAGGAAAGUUAACCAAAUUGAAGGGUAAAUUUUUUACAUUGUUCCACUGGCUCCAGUUGGAGCUUAAUCAUCACGACCCUUCCUUCAGUCCACAGCGCCUGCUUCAAGAUGCAGCAGAAGUCAAAAUUGCAAGAGUCUGGAUGUUUUGCUUUCGUGUAACUCAUUAGGCAUUUCCCCCUGUGCUAUGAUAAAUGUCUCUCUCAACCAGAAAUUUUAUCUCACCUGUGUAUGUCCCUAUUUCACUCUGCGGAAUCACUCUCAGGAAAUACAAGCUAAUGAUGUCUGUGGUUCUGAAAUUUCCUUGUUAUUAUUUGUUUAAGACAUUUUUUAAAAAAACCUGUGGACAGCUUAUUAAAAGGAUGCUGAGCAAUG
rnacentral:lncRNA from 1 species